rnacentral:rRNA from 1 species
UAGGGAAUCUUCCGCAAUGGGCGAAAGCCUGACGGAGCAACGCCGCGUGAGUGAUGAAGGUCUUCGGAUCGUAAAACUCUGUUAUUAGGGCAGAACAAAUGUGUAAGUAACUAUGCACGUCUUGACGGUACCUAAUCAGAAAGCCACGGCUAACUACGUGCCAGCAGCCGCGGUAAUACGUAGGUGGCAAGCGUUAUCCGGAAUUAUUGGGCGUAAAGCGCGCGUAGGCGGUUUUUUAAGUCUGUUGUGAAAGCCCACGGCUCAACCGUGGAGGGUGAUUGGAAACUGGACAACUUUGGUGCAGCAGAGGAAAGUGGAAUGCCAUGGGUAGCGGUGAAAUGCGCAGAGAUAUGGAGGAACACCAGUGGCGAAGGCGACUUUCUGGUCUAUAACUGACGCUGAUGUGCGAAAGCGUGGGGAUCAAACAGG